GGAUUAAAGAUUUAUCGCUUCGGGAGGGGCCUGCGUCUGAUUAGCUUGUUGGUGAGGUAAAAAGCUCACCAAGGCGACGAUCAGUAGCUGGUUCGAGAGGAUGACCAGCCACACUGGGACUGAGAUACGGCCCAGACUCCUACGGGAGGCAGCAGUGAGGAAUCUUCCACAAUGGACGAAAGUCUGAUGGAGCAAUACGCGUGCAGGAAGACGCUUUUCGGAGUGUAAACUGCUUUUGUCGUCGAAGAUUAUGACUGUAGACGAAGAAUAAGGACCGGCUAACUACGUG
rnacentral:rRNA from 1 species